AGCUUUAUAUUCAAUAAUGAUAUAAAAUUGCAAAUUUUAAGGGGUAUUAUAAAAAAAUACUAAGGCUU
rnacentral:tRNA from 1 species